rnacentral:rRNA from 1 species
GGAAUAUUGCGCAAUGGGGGCAACCCUGACGCAGCGACGCCGCGUGGGUGAGGAAGGCUUUCGGGUCGUAAAACCCUGUCAGAAGGGAAGAAGUGCUUAUGGGCUAAUACCUUGUAAGUUUGACGGUACCUUCAAAGGAAGCACCGGCUAACUCCGUGCCAGCAGCCGCGGUAAUACGGAGGGUGCAAGCGUUGUUCGGAAUCACUGGGCGUAAAGGGCGCGUAGGCGGCUUGGCAAGUCAGAUGUGAAAGCCCACGGCUUAACCGUGGAAGUGCAUUUGAAACUGCUUGGCUUGAGUAUCAGAGGGGAAAGUGGAAUUCCCGGUGUAGAGGUGAAAUUCGUAGAUAUCGGGAGGAAUACCGGUGGCGAAGGCGACUUUCUGGCUGAAUACUGACGCUGAGGCGCGAAAGCGUGGGGAGCAAACAGGAUUA